rnacentral:rRNA from 1 species
GGAUUAGAUACCCUGGUAGUCCACGCCGUAAACGAUGUCUACUAGGAGUUCGGUUUUUCGGAACUGUCUUCCAAAGCUAACGCAUUAAGUAGACCGCCUGGGGAGUACGGCCGCAAGGUUAAAACUCAAAUGAAUUGACGGGGGCCCGCACAAGCGGUGGAGCAUGUGGUUUAAUUCGAUGCAACGCGAAGAACCUUACCUACACUUGACAUCCAGAGAACUUACUAGAGAUAGUUUGGUGCCUUCGGGAACUCUGAGACAGGUGCUGCAUGGCUGUCGUCAGCUCGUGCUG